GAGUUUUGAUCAUGGCUCAGGAUGAACGCUAGCUACAGGCUUAACACAUGCAAGUCGAGGGGGAAACGACAUCGAAAGCUUGCUUUUUGAUGGGNGUCGACCGGCGCACGGGUGAGUAACGCGUAUCCAACCUGCCCACCACUUGGGGGAUAACCUUGCGAAAGUAAGACUAAUACCCAAUGAUAUCUCUAGAAGACAUCUGAAAGAGAUUAAAGAUUUAUCGGUGAUGGAUGGGGAUGCGUCUGAUUAGCUUGUUGGCGGGGUAACGGCCCACCAAGGCAACGAUCAGUAGGGGUUCUGAGAGGAAGGUCCCCCACAUUGGAACUGAGACACGGUCCAAACUCCUACGGGAGGCAGCA
rnacentral:rRNA from 1 species